rnacentral:rRNA from 1 species
CCUACGGGAGGCAGCAGUGGGGAAUAUUGGGCAAUGGGCGCAAGCCUGACCCAGCAACGCCGCGUGAAGGAAGAAGGCUUUCGGGUUGUAAACUUCUUUUCUCAGGGACGAAGAAAGUGACGGUACCGGAGGAAUAAGCCACGGCUAACUACGUGCCAGCAGCCGCGGUAAUACGUAGGUGGCAAGCGUUAUCCGGAUUUACUGGGUGUAAAGGGCGUGUAGGCGGGAAAGGAAGUCAGAUGUGAAAACCAGGGGCUCAACCUGUGGCCUGCAUUUGAAACUGUUUUUCUUGAGUACUGGAGUGGCAGCCGGACUUCCUCGUGUAGCGGUGACAUGCGUCGAUAUUAGG